GUGCUUAACACAUGCAAGUCGAACGAUGAACCUCCUUCGGGAGGGGAUUAGUGGCGAACGGGUGAGUAACACGUGGGCAAUCUGCCCUUCACUCUGGGACAAGCCCUGGAAACGGGGUCUAAUACCGGAUACGACCUCCGACCGCAUGGUCUGGUGGUGGAAAGCUCCGGCGGUGAAGGAUGAGCCCGCGGCCUAUCAGCUUGUUGGUGGGGUGAUGGCCUACCAAGGCGACGACGGGUAGCCGGCCUGAGAGGGCGACCGGCCACACUGGGACUGAGACACGGCCCAGACUCCUACGGGAGGCAGCAGUGGGGAAUAUUGCACAAUGGGCGAAAGCCUGAUGCAGCGACGCCGCGUGAGGGAUGACGGCCUUCGGGUUGUAAACCUCUUUCAGCAGGGAAGAAGCGAGAGUGACGGUACCUGCAGAAGAAGCGCCGGCUAACUACGUGCCAGCAGCCGCGGUAAUACGUAGGGCGCAAGCGUUGUCCGGAAUUAUUGGGCGUAAAGAGCUCGUAGGCGGCUUGUCACGUCGGAUGUGAAAGCCCGGGGCUUAACCCCGGGUCUGCAUUCGAUACGGGCAGGCUAGAGUUCGGUAGGGGAGAUCGGAAUUCCUGGUGUAGCGGUGAAAUGCGCAGAUAUCAGGAGGAACACCGGUGGCGAAGGCGGAUCUCUGGGCCGAUACUGACGCUGAGGAGCGAAAGCGUGGGGAGCGAACAGGAUUAGAUACCCUGGUAGUCCACGCCGUAAACGUUGGGAACUAGGUGUGGGCGACAUUCCACGUCGUCCGUGCCGCAGCUAACGCAUUAAGUUCCCCGCCUGGGGGAGUACGGCCGCAAGGCUAAAAC
rnacentral:rRNA from 1 species